rnacentral:rRNA from 1 species
AGCAGCCGCGGUAAUUCCAGCUCCAAUAGCGUAUAUUAAAGUUGUUGCAGUUAAAAAGCUCGUAGUUGAAUUUCGGGAUCAAUAUAUCGGUCGUGCCUUGGUACGUACUGGUAUCAUUGGUUUCUCCUUUCUGACGAACCAUGAUGUCAUUAAUUUGGUGUUAUGGGAAGUUAGGACUGUUACUUUGAAAAAUUAGAGUGUUUAAAGCAGGCUCACGCUUGAAUACAUUAGCAUGGAAUAACGAAAUAGGACGUUUGAUUCUAUUUUGCUGGUUUCUAGGAUCGACGUAAUGAUUAAUAGGGAUAGUUGGGGGCAUUAGUAUUCAAUUGUCAGAGGUGAAAUUCUUGGAUUUAUUGAAGACUAACUACUGCGAAAGCAUUUGCCAAGGAUGUUUUCAUUAAUCAAGAACGAAAGUUAGGGGAUCGAAGACGAUCAGAUACCGUCGUAGUC